GAUCCUGGCUCAGGAUGAACGCUAGCGACAGGCUUAACACAUGCAAGUCGAGGGGCAGCACAGGUAGCAAUACCGGGUGGCGACCGGCGCACGGGUGAGUAACGCGUAUGCAACUUGCCUAUCAGAGGGGGAUAACCCGGCGAAAGUCGGACUAAUACCGCAUGAGGCAGGGGCCCCGCAUGGGGAUAUUCGCUAAAGAUUCAUCGCUGAUAGAUAGGCAUGCGUUCCA
rnacentral:rRNA from 1 species